CCGCGUGAGUGAUGAAGGCCUUAGGGUCGUAAAGCUCUUUCGCCAGAGAUGAUAAUGACAGUAUCUGGUAAAGAAACCCCGGCUAACUCCGUGCCAGCAGCCGCGGUAAUACGGAGGGGGUUAGCGUUGUUCGGAAUUACUGGGCGUAAAGCGUACGUAGGCGGAUUAGUCAGUCAGAGGUGAAAUCCCAGGGCUCAACCCUGGAACUGCCUUUGAUACUGCUAGUCUUGAGUUCGAGAGAGGUGAGUGGAAUUCCAAGUGUAGAGGUGAAAUUCGUAGAUAUUUGGAGGAACACCAGUGGCGAAGGCGGCUCACUGGCUCGAUACUGACGCUGAGGUACGAAAGUGUGGGGAGCAAACAGGAUUAGAUACCCUGGUAGUCCACACCGUAAACGAUGAAUGCCAGUCGUCGGGCAGUAUACUGUUCGGUGACACACCUAACGGAUUAAGCAUUCCGCCUGGGGAGUACGGUCGCAAGAUUAAAACUAA
rnacentral:rRNA from 1 species